rnacentral:rRNA from 1 species
UACGGAGGGUGCGAGCGUUGUCCGGAAUCACUGGGCGUAAAGGGCGCGUAGGCGGAUCGUUAAGUCGGGGGUGAAAUCCUGGAGCUCAACUCCAGAACUGCCUUCGAUACUGGCGAUCUUGAGUCCGGAAGAGGUGAGUGGAACUCCUAGUGUAGAGGUGAAAUUCGUAGAUAUUGGGAAGAACACCGGUGGCGAAGGCGGCGACCUGGUCCUUGACUGACGCUGAGGCGCGAAAGCGUGGGGAGCAAACAGG